rnacentral:rRNA from 1 species
GAUGAACGCAGGCGGCGCGCCUAACACAUGCAAGUCGAACGAUUAAAGCACCUUCGGGUGUGUAUAAAGUGGCGAACGGCUGAGUAACACGUGGGCAACCUGCCCCUCUCAUUGGGAUAGCCACGGGAAACCGUGGAUAAUACCGAAUACUUCGAGACUUCCGCAUGGAAGACUCGAGAAAGCUCCGGCGGAGAGGGAUGGGCCCGCGGCCUGUUAGCUUGUUGGUGGGGUAACGGCCUACCAAGGCAAUGAUGGGUAGCUGGGUUGAGAGACCGACCAGCCAGAUUGGGACUGAGACACGGCCCAGACUCCUACGGGGGGCAGCAGUGGGGAAUCUUGCACAAUGGGCGAAAGCCUGAUGCAGCGACGCCGCGUGCGGGAUGAAGGCCUUCGGGUUGUAAACCGCUUUCAGCAGGGACGAGGCGAAAGUGACGGUACCUGCAGAAGAAGCCCCGGCUAACUACGUGCCAGCAGCCGCGGUAAUACGUAGGGGGCAAGCGUUAUCCGGAUUCAUUGGGCGUAAAGCGCUCGUAGGCGGUCUGUUAGGUCGGGAGUUAAAUCCGGGGGCUCAACCCCCGUUCGCUCCCGAUACCGGCAGACUUGAGUUUGGUAGGGGAAGGUGGAAUUCCUAGUGUAGCGGUGGAAUGCGCAGAUAUUAGGAAGAACACCAGUGGCGAAGGCGGCCUUCUGGGCCAUAACUGACGCUGAGGAGCGAAAGCUAGGGGAGCAAACAGG